rnacentral:rRNA from 1 species
UGAGCUGUGGAUAGGGGUGAAAGGCUAAACAAACUUGGAAAUAGCUGGUUCUCCCCGAAAACUAUUUAGGUAGUGCCUCGUGCGGACACUUCCGGGGGUAGAGCACUGUAAUCGUUGGGGGGGUCAUUGCGAUCUACCCCGCGAUAGCAAACUCCGAAUACCGGAAAGUGAUACACGGGAGACAGACGGUGGGUGCUAACGUCCAUCGUCAAGAGGGAAACAACCCAGACCGCCAGCUAAGGUCCCAAAUCCAUGGCUAAGUGGAAAAACGAGGUGGGAAGGCAUAGACAGCUAGGAGGUUGGCUUAGAAGCAGCCACCCUUUAAAGAAAGCGUAAUAGCUCACUAGUCGAGUCGUCCUGCGCGGAAGAUGUAACGGGGCUCAAGCCAUGAACCGAAGCUGCGGAUGCAUUUUAAUGCAUGGUAGGGGAG